UACGUAGGUGGCAAGCGUUAUCCGGAAUUAUUGGGCGUAAAGCGCGUGUAGGCGGUUACUUAAGUCGGAUGUGAAAGCCCUCGGCUUAACUGAGGAAGUGCACCCGAAACUGAGUAGCUAGAGUACGAAAGAGGGUCGCGGAAUUCCCGGUGUAGAGGUGAAAUUCGUAGAUAUCGGGAGGAACACCGGUGGCGAAGGCGGCGACCUGGGUCGAGACUGACGCUGAGGCGCGAAAGCGUGGGGAGCAAACAGG
rnacentral:rRNA from 1 species